GAACGCACAUUGCGCCCUCUGGUAUUCCGGAGGGCACACCUGUUCGAGCGUCAUUACACAAAUCAAGCCCUGCUUGGUGUUGGGUGAGGCCCUUUGGGGCCCGCCUCAAACCCCUCGGCGUCGCCGUCCGUCUUCGAGCGCAGCGAGAUAACUUUCCAGCGUUUUCGAGAUGGGCCACGUCCGCCGCAGAACACACCUUUUUUUCUAUCAAGGUUGACCUCGGAUCAGGUGGGGAUACCCGCUGAACUUAAG
rnacentral:misc_RNA from 1 species